GAACGGGUGAGUAACACGUGGGUGAUCUGCCCUGCACUUUGGGAUAAGCCUGGGAAACUGGGUCUAAUACCGAAUAUGACCACGCUCUUCAUGGGGUGUGGUGGAAAGCUUUUGCGGUGGGGGANNNNCCCGCGGCCUAUCAGCUUGUUGGUGGGGUAAUGGCCUACCAAGGCGACGACGGGUAGCCGGCCUGAGAGGGUGACCGGCCACACUGGGACUGAGAUACGGCCCAGACUCCUACGGGAGGCAGCAGUGGGGAAUAUUGCACAAUGGGCGCAAGCCUGAUGCAGCGACGCCGCGUGAGGGAUGACGGCCUUCGGGUUGUAAACCUCUUUCACCAGGGACGAAGCGCAAGUGACGGUACCUGGAGAAGAAGCACCGGCCAACUACGUGCCAGCAGCCGCGGUAAUACGUAGGGUGCGAGCGUUGUCCGGAAUUACUGGGCGUAAAGAGCUCGUAGGUGGUUUGUCGCGUUGUUCGUGAAAACUCACAGCUUAACUGUGGGCGUGCGGGCGAUACGGGCAGACUAGAGUACUGCAGGGGAGACUGGAAUUCCUGGUGU
rnacentral:rRNA from 1 species